rnacentral:rRNA from 1 species
CGGCGAACGGGUGAGUAACGCGUGGAUUAUCUGCCCUGAGGUGGGGGAUAACCCGGGGAAACUCGGGCUAAUACCGCAUAUGACCGUGAGGUCAAAGGGGGUCGCAAGAUCUCUCGCCAUAGGAGGAGUCCGCGUACGAUUAGCUAGUUGGUAGGGUAAUGGCCUACCAAGGCGACGAUCGUUAGCCGGCCUGAGAGGGUGAUCGGCCACACUGGAACUGAGACACGGUCCAG